AUUGAACGCUGGCGGCAGGCCUAACACAUGCAAGUCGAGCGAGCGGCGGACGGGUGAGUAAUGUAUGGGGACUGCCCGAUAGAGGGGGAUAACCACUGGAAACGGUGGCUAAUACCGCAUACUAUCGGAUAACCCAUAUGGGAUUAGCUAGUGGGUGGGGUAAAGGCUCACCUAGGCGACGAUCUCUAGCUGGUCUGAGAGGAUGAUCGGCAAAAUGGGACCUGAGACACGGCCAAGACUCCUACGGGGGCAGCAGUGGGGAAUAUUGCACAAGGGGGGAAAGCCUGAUGCAGCCAGGCCGCGUGUAUGAAGAAGGCCUUAGGGUUGUAAAGUACGUUCAGCGGGGAGGCGUUACCCGCAGAGGAAGCACCGGCUAACUCCGUGCCAGCAGCCGCGGUAAUAC
rnacentral:rRNA from 1 species